rnacentral:rRNA from 1 species
UACGAAGGGGGCUAGCGUUGCUCGGAAUCACUGGGCGUAAAGCGCACGUAGGCGGAUCUUUAAGUCAGGGGUGAAAUCCUGGAGCUCAACUCCAGAACUGCCCUUGAUACUGGGGAUCUUGAGUCCGGAAGAGGUGAGUGGAACUCCGAGUGUAGAGGUGAAAUUCGUAGAUAUUCGGAAGAACACCAGUGGCGAAGGCGGCUCACUGGUCCGGUACUGACGCUGAGGUGCGAAAGCGUGGGGAGCAAACAGGGAUUAAGAA